GAUCUGAAGACGCUCCACUGACUCUUGUCAUCCAUGGCUUGUGAAAAUUGAGGAGGAGGAGAAACCAGAUCAGGAGUUGGAGGUGGAUUUUGGAACUCUGAAUCGUCCGCCCGUUUCCCAGUUUCCCAAUGCACAGAUCGAAGAAAAAGGGGCGGCUUUAAGAAGUGAAAUUAAAGGAGAGAGAGUGAGAGAGAUGAAGAAGAAACGUAAAAAAACAACAAUAAAAGAUUGGAGGAGGUUUGUAAGUGUAAAAUGAAAUGAAGCAGAGCUCUUCUUUUCUUCCUCCUACUCUUUCUCUAUCUGUCACUUCUUCUUCUAAGCUUUCCUUCCGUCUCCGUCUUUCUGGUUUGUGUCUGUGCUGUGCUAUCUCGCGUGCUGCUGCAUUUCUUUCUGCGUCAAUUUCUCUAAGUCAUCAGAAAAUAUAACUUGCCUUUUGUUAUUUCUCAUUUUCCAUAUUUUUGUUGUCGUUGUUUAUUAUUAAUGAUGUCUCGUUGUUUUUGGAAGCAAAACGCUGCUAGAAAUGGCUCUCACCUUCCCCAGUUCCCUUCUCUCCACAUCCCAACAAACUAACACAAUUCGCCUUCC
rnacentral:lncRNA from 1 species